rnacentral:misc_RNA from 1 species
UACGGAGGGUGCAAGCGUUACUCGGAAUUACUGGGCGUAAAGGGCGCGUAGGCGGCCUGUUAAGCCAGGUGUGAAAGCCCCGGGCUCAACCUGGGAAUGGCAUUUGGAACUGGCAGGCUUGAGUGCAGGAGAGGAAGGUAGAAUUCCCGGUGUAGCGGUGAAAUGCGUAGAGAUCGGGAGGAAUACCAGUGGCGAAGGCGGCCUUCUGGACUGACACUGACGCUGAGGCGCGAAAGCGUGGGUAGCAAACAGG